rnacentral:siRNA from 1 species
UCAGUCUUCUUCAGAUUCCGC